GUGGGCGUAGUGUAAUGGUUAGCACCAGAGUUUGUGGAACUCUUAGCGCGGGUUCGAAUCCCGUCGUCCACCCA
rnacentral:tRNA from 3 species